AUUGUGCUGGGGCUAGGUCAGUGUAUUGUGUGGUGCUAGGUCAGUGUAUUGUGCUGGGGCUAGGUCAGUGUAUUGUGUGGUGCUAGGUCAGUGUAUUGUGUGGUGCUAGGUCAGUGUAUUGUGCUGGGGCUAGGUCACUGUAUUGUGUGGUGCUAGGUCAGUGUAUUGUGCUGGGGCUAGGUCAGUGUAUUGUGUGGUGCUAGGUCAGUGUAUUGUGUGGUGCAAGGUCAGUGUAUUGUGCUGGGGCUAGGUCAGUGUAUUGUGUGGGGCUAGGUCAGUGUAUUGUGUGGUGCUAGGUCAGUGUAUUGUGCUGGGGCUAGGUCAGUGUAUUGUGUGGUGCUAGGUCAGUGUAUUGUGCUGGGGCUAGGUCAGUGUAUUGUGCUGGGGCUAGGUCAGUGUAUUGUGCUGGGGCUAGGUCAGUGUAUUGUGCUGGGGCUAGGUCAGUGUAUUGUGCUGGGGCUAGGUCAGUGUAUUGUGCUGGGGCUAGGUCAGUGUAUUGUGCUGGGGCUAGGUCAGUGUAUUGUGCUGGGGCUAGGUCAGUGUAUUGUGCUGGGGCUAGGUCAGUGUAUUGUGCUGGGGCUAGGUCAGUGUAUUGUGCUGGGGCUAGGUCAGUGUAUUGUGCUGGGGCUAGGUCAGUGUAUUGUGCUGGGGCUAGGUCAGUGUAUUGUGCUGGGGCUAGGUCAGUGUAUUGUGCUGGGGCUAGGUCAGUGUAUUGUGCUGGGGCUAGGUCAGUGUAUUGUGCUGGGGCUAGGUCAGUGUAUUUUGCUGGGGCUAGGUCAGUGUAUUGUGC